rnacentral:rRNA from 1 species
CACGCAGGCGGUCUGUUAAGUCAGAUGUGAAAGUUCGGGGCUUAACCCCGGAAUUGCAUUUGAAACUGUAAUACUUGAGUACUGGAGAGGUAAGUGGAAUUCCUAGUGUAGCGGUGAAAUGCGUAGAUAUUAGGAGGAACACCAGUGGCGAAGGCGACUUACUGGACAGAUACUGACGCUGAGGCGCGAAAGCGUGGGGAGCAAACAGGAUUAGAUACCCGCGUA